rnacentral:lncRNA from 1 species
AUAGUGACUGAUAGAGAGCAGCAGUCUCAGCUGUAAAAAUAGAGUCCCCAGGGAAUACUGAUAGCCUUUUUCCAAUAAAGCGAAAUCUAUUUGCAAUAAUAGGUAUAUGCAAAGACCUCCUGAAAUUACAGGAGCAAACUCCUUCCGCAUCUCGACCUAAUUAAGAUCCGUUACUCAACAGUGAUCAGUCAGAUUUUACUGUAAGAAGGAAGAAAACAAGGAUCCUGCUAGAACAACAUGGAAACAGGCUGAUCUUAGGACCUACAACAAAGAGAUUUCUCACUGGCUUCCUGGUGGUUCAUUCAAUAGGGAAUUCCUGCAGCAAGUUGGAGGGAGGGAGGAGAAGCAGGGAGGCCACCUCCUGUCAAAGCUGGGACAUCUGAGAGACAGUGGUCACACAACAACUCAACUGCAUGUGCACCUAAAACAGUAGCUUAUUUUCUCUGACUGUUUCUUCUUCUUCUUCUUCUACUCCUUAUUCUUAUUCUUCUUUCUGAUUUACCAACCUACUGGGUAUCAGUGCAAAAAAUUAUUUUACUUGCGAAUUAAUGAUAUCACCACGUUUUCUUGCUUAAACUGUCUUUUUAGGUUAGCUCAGCUACUCUGGGCUAAACAUUCAGUCUUUCAGAUAUACUCCACUUACCUUAGCUCCUCCCAUGGUGGUUCCGGGGUUGGAGAGGCUUACGUGACCUUAUGGUAGCAGGGCAGAGGCAGGGCUAUGCUGCUCAUGGGGCAUUCUGUAAAAGUAAGAUGUGUCUUCCUUAUGAUACCUUCCUUCCAGUUGUUGGAAAGUUGUCGUGCUGCUUUUAUUAGAGCAAGCAUCUUGUUGCCAUAUGCUUUAAAAUGGACAUAAUAAAUGUGCAAAUCUUCAA